CUUUCAACCAACUGCCAAUCGGGACAUCUUUGAAUCCACCUAUGACCUGAAGUUCCCCUGUGCAUGUUCUCCUGCCUGCCACCACAUAAGAUGUGCCUUUGUUCUUCCUUUGCCUCCGGCCAUGAUUUUGAGGACUCCCCAGCCAUGCUGAACUAAACUCGGACCCCACCAAAUGGAUCUGCUGGCACACAGACCUCAGAUAUGGAGGGACCGAGAGGACUGGAUUCUUGCUGCUGUGAAAGGAAAAUAAAAACUUGGAACCCCAAAUCUCUGUGCCAAAAGGAAAAAAUUAAGCUGAAAGCUGAGUCAUGCAAGAAGCUGCCUUUUCUUUUGCUCCUAAGCAGAGAGCUACAGAUAAAAGGUUAAAUAUCUCCACAGAUAGCUACUCUACGUUCACCUUAUCUUACGUAAAGUGCUGAUUUACUGAGCACCAGACAGACACAUAAUUGACUGUUCCCCUACCUGCUCCUUUUCUCUUGCAACACGUGGAUUCAGUAAUGUGACCAUACCCUCCUUCUUUCCCCUCCAGUCUGCUUUUCCCCUUUUAAAUAUUGAAGCCCUCAAAAUCACCUUUGGAGAAAGGCACAGACUUGUCUCCUGGGUACAUCCUUAACCUUGGCAAAAUAAACUUUUGAAUUAAUUGAGACCUG
rnacentral:lncRNA from 1 species